rnacentral:lncRNA from 1 species
UGAAGGUAAGCUUGGCAAGAGAAAACAAUGUCUGUCAAAUUCAAAGAACGUAACUGAACAAAAAUAUGAAGACUUUCUUUAUCUAUGCAUUAGAAAAUAUACAUCAUACUGAAUUCUGCAGCCAUGGCCCGAUGCAUUUCUUUGAAUUUACUAGAAUUUUCACCAUAUUGGUUUAGGUAUUUCCACAUUGGAGUAACAAAUAUGUAUCAGCAUUCUUGCUGUCUUCUUGUCCAUGAACAACAUUAGCCUUUUGAUGCCCCGCCAAAUUCUUCUAAGAGGCGCUCGAUAGUCUUUCUUGAUGUAACUUUGUCAAUCUCAAAUGCCUUCAUUUCAACUCUGAGACCUGCAUGAUCAACAAGCG